AUGAGGCUGUGUCCCAAAUACCAACGCGACCGAUCCCGGAGAAGCUGGCGGGAGCCCUGGGGAGAGUUCUCUUUUCUUUGUGAAGGGCAGGGCACCCUGGAAUGGGUUCGCCCAGAGAGAGGGGCCCAAGCCCUGGAAAGCGCCGAGGUUCAGGCGGCGUCCGGUGAGCUCUCGCUGGCCCUUGAAAAUCCGGGGAAGAGGGUGUAAAUCUCG
rnacentral:ncRNA from 1 species